AUUGAACGCUGGCGGCAUGCCUUACACAUGCAAGUCGAACGGUAACAGGUCUUCGAAUGCUGACGAGUGGCGAACGGGUGAGUAAUACAUCGGAACGUGCCUAGUAGUGGGGGAUAACUACUCGAAAGAGUGGCUAAUACCGCAUGAGAUCUACGGAUGAAAGCAGGGGAUCGCAAGACCUUGUGCUACUAGAGCGGCCGAUGGCAGAUUCGGUAGUUGGUGGGAUAAAAGCUUACCAAGCCGACGAUCUGUAGCUGGUCUGAGAGGACGAUCAGCCACGCUGGGACUGAGAAACGGCCCAGACUCCUACGGGAGGCAGCAGUGGGGAAUUUUGGACAAUGGGCGAAAGCCUGAUCCAGCAAUGCCGCGUGCAGGAUGAAGGCCUUCGGGUUGUAAACUGCUUUUGUACGGAACGAAAAGCCCCGGGUUAAUACCCUGGGGUCAUGACGGUACCGUAAGAAUAAGCACCGGCUAACUACGUGCCAGCAGCCGCGGUAA
rnacentral:rRNA from 1 species